GUAAUGGUAGAUGAAAGUGUUAGGGGACGAGGUAGGCCUAGAUUAACGUUAGCUAGCGCUGUAAAUAGAGAUAUAGAUCUACUUAAUUUGACUAAUGAAAUGGCUUUUGAUAAGGCUUCGUGGAGAAGAAGGAUUCAUGUAGCUGACUCUAUUUGAUGAAACUUAAGGCUUAGUUUGGUUUGAUUUGGUUUAUGAAAACUGAGACAAAUUGGAGAAAGGCUUCUCAACAUUACUCAAGGGGGAGAUUCAACAGUCUAAGCGUGAAGCUGAUGAAGGAUGGUUCUCUGAAAUUGGGGGAGUAAGAGCCAUGCAUGGUUGAUUUUCAGACACGCAUACAAGAAAGUACUAUAAUCGUUACCCCAUAUAUAUUGAACUUGAACCUUCUUUCGUGAUUAUUUGUGGGACUUUAUUGAUUAGGUGGGGGCACUAUUGAUUGCUGGCUUCCGAGGACCAUGGAGGGGCUACCAGCCGAGGCAAAGAUUCCAACCCCAGCCCAGGAGUUUGGAGGUGUGUCAUGGACCACCUUGGGCCAGCAUUCUCAUCAGGGGA